rnacentral:rRNA from 1 species
UACGGAGGAUGCGAGCGUUAUCCGGAUUUAUUGGGUUUAAAGGGUGCGCAGGCGGCACGGCAAGCCGGCGGUCAAAUCGCGGGGCUCAACCCCGCCCAGCCGUCGGAACUGCCGGGCUAGAGUGGGCGAGAAGUGCGCGGAAUGCGUGGUGUAGCGGUGAAAUGCAUAGAUAUCACGCAGAACUCAGAUUGCGAAGGCAGCGCACCGGCGCCCUACUGACGCUCAGGCACGAAAGCGUGGGUAUCGAACAGG